UAUGGCGACCGGCGCACGGGUGAGUAACACGUAUCCAACCUGCCGAUGACUCGGGGAUAGCCUUUCGAAAGAAAGAUUAAUACCCGAUGGCAUAGUUCUUCCGCAUGGUAGAACUAUUAAAGAAUUUCGGUCAUCGAUGGGGACGCGUUCCAUUAGGUUGUUGGCGGGGUAACGGCCCACCAAGCCUUCGAUGGAUAGGGGUUCUGAGAGGAAGGUCCCCCACAUUGGAACUGAGACACGGUCCAA
rnacentral:rRNA from 1 species